UGAGUAAGACAAAUGAUCGCGGCUGCCUUUGGGCAGACGAGGAAAGUCCGAGCUCCGCAGGGCAGGGUGCUGGGUAACACCCAGUGGAGGCGACUCCAAGGAUAGUGCAACAGAAAUAUACAGCGUGCUGAUUUGGUUUCCAACCUUCAGUACGCAAUGGUGGAAAGGUGAGGUAAGAGCUCACCAGCAUCCAGGCGACUGGAAUGGCUGUGUAAACCCCAUCCGGAGCAAGACUUAAUAGGGGACAUGAAUAGCGGCUGCCCGCCGCGUCCCGGGAAAAGUCGCUGGAGCCUGCUGGCAACAUCAGGCCUAGACAGAUGAUCAUUCAAGACAGAACUCGGCUUAUGGCUUAUCUCACUUU
rnacentral:RNase_P_RNA from 1 species